CAGAGACACUCUGUCCAUUUUAGAAGAAUGUGCAAACCAAGGGAAUUCACAGGUCUACAUGGAUAGGACUGGAGAAAUUUUAAAAUAAUAAAUUCUAGGUUGGCUGUGGUAGAGCAUGGAGGGAGUCAAAGCUUUAAAUUUCAGGAACAAGCUAAGAAAAGAAUGUUUAAAAAAAGAAUGGUAGGGGAAGAGGUGUGAAGACAGGAGGAAAACAAGGAUGACGACAAAGACAAUGAAGAAGACAAAGAACCAUCACAGAUGAAAUCUGGGCAACCCUGGUUGAUCAUGUGGCCAACUAGGGUUUGAGUAUGAAGGAAGCUGCUGUGGUCUGAAAUUGGUUUAUUGACCAUCCAUGAUUUUUCAUGCUGUAUCUUCCACCAUACUUACCAUUCCUAAACACCGUUGAAGAACUUUUCCCAUUAUGAAGAUGGAAAGUGUAAAAUCUCCAGCCGUUCAGAUGCAUAAGCCUUUUCCAGGCAAUGGAGAAGGCCUGUGAAGAUGUAGAUGAGGUGGUAUGCUGGGGUGGAUUUGUCACUUCAGACAAUACCUCUCCUGCAAUCAAGGCAGAGAGAGUAUUGCCUGUGAUUUGUACUUUUUUCAAAUCCUGAACAUUCAAAAAUUGGUACUUGACUCACAAUUACUGAAACCAUUUACUCAUGGACCAAAUCUUUUAAUCAAGUCUGCAGGACUGCAAGCACAUUUUCACCUUAUUGCUCAGAUUGCAAUUUCAAAAUGUACAUUUUGCAGAACACUCCACACAGUUCUCUACAUUAGACACAAUUACCAAAAUUGAAAUCUCCUCUGUCUUACUUUGGAAAAUACUGACAUUCAAAAUGGCACCCCCAUUGGCCUUUACCUAGAUCUCAAGAGUGAAACAUUUAGCAGGCAAUUGCUUCACUCAGCAGAGCAUGAACACUUUGUAACAGGUUAGUUCUCUUGGUUUGGACAACAGUGGAGGCAAAUAUUGCUAAGAGAGGUAGAGGAGAAGAUCGGAGGAUGAGAGGAGAAUGAGAACACUGACAUGGAAGAUGACAAAGGAGAACAUGCACUGAUGAAAUCCAGACCACCCUGGCCGAUUAUGUGGUCAAUCAUGGUUUGAAGACAAUGGGAAUAGGCCAGAGCAGUCCAGGAUUAUCAUUAUCUGGGAUAAAGUAACUUUCCACUGGUCUGCUGUGGUCUGAAAUGUAUUAAUUGAAAACCCACCUAUUUUCAUGCUUCUACCAUACUCACCAUUCCUAAACUCAAGUGAAGGUUUUUCAUAAUGGAGGUGGACAGCGUAUGAUCACCAGCCCUAUAGACACAAAUCUCCAGGAAAUGGAGGAUAUAGAUAUAUGCCAUGAGUGGAUAUAUCACUCCAGACAAUACUUCCUCUACAAUCUUGGCAGAGAGAGUGCCACUUUUGAUGCAGAUAAGGUUCUAUGGCCAGACCCAAACAGGAGACAGGAUUCAGCAUAUUUUUUCCUUUCCAGUUUUUUCGCUUUCUUUUCUUUUUUUCCCUGUAAAAUGCUGUUUCCUCCAUCUUACUCUGUAUUUGUUUUGUCUAUUAGCCUAAUAUUCACACCCAAGUAUGGAUAAUAAUGUAUUGCUUUUAGAAAAAUAAAUUUGUG